rnacentral:rRNA from 1 species
AGCCAUGCAUGUCUAAGCACAUGCCUUAAUACGGUGAAGCCGCGAAUAGCUCAUUACAACAGCCAUCGUUUACUAGAAAAUCGUUGUCCUACUUGGAUAACUGUGGCAAUUCUAGAGCUAAUACAUGCAAAAAAGCUCAGACUGAAAGGAAUGAGCGCAUUUAUUAGAAUAAAAACCAAUCGGGUCUAAAAGCCCGUCGUUUGGUGAAUCUGAAUAACUUUGCUGAUCGCACGGUCCUAGUACCGGCGACGUAUCUUUCAAGUGUCUGCCUUAUCAACUUUCGAUGGUAGGUUAUACGCCUACCAUGGUAGUAACGGGUAACGGAGAAUAAGGGUUCGACUCCGGAGAGGGAGCCUGAGAAACGGCUACCACAUCCAAGGAAGGCAGCAGGCGCGCAAAUUACCCACUUCCAGAACGGAGAGGUAGUGACGAAAAAUAACGAGACAGUCCUCUCUGAGGUCUGUCAUCGGAAUGGGUACAAUUUAAAUCCUUUAACGAGGAUCUAUUGGAGGGCAAGUCUGGUGCCAGCAGCCGCGGUAAUUCCAGCUCCAAUAGCGUAUAUUAAAGUUGUUGCGGUUAAAACGCUCGUAGUUGAAUCUGCGGCCUGGGAGAACGGACCCCCGAAAGGGUGGUAACUGUUACUCCUAGCCUAAAUUUUUAGUCUACUCUAUGGUGCCCUUAACCGGGUGCUUAGAGUGACUGGAACGUUUACUUUGAAAAAAUUAGAGUGCUUAAAGCAGGCAAAUUUGCCUGAAUAAGGUGCAUGGAAUAAUGGAAUAGGACCUCGGUUCUAUUUUGUUGGUUUUCGGAGCCUGAGGUAAUGAU